rnacentral:rRNA from 1 species
UUUAGAGUCCUGGCUCGAGAUGAACGCUGGCGGCGUGCUUAACACAUGCAAGUCGAACGGAGCACCCUGAUGGAGUUUUCGGACAACAGAGGGAAUGCUUAGUGGCGGACGGGUGAGUAACGCGUGAGGACCUGCCUUGGAGAGGGGAAUAACACAGUGAAAAUUGUGCUAAUACCGCAUGACGCAGUUGGGCCGCAUGGCUCUGACUGCCAAAGAUUUAUCGCUCUGAGAUGGCCUCGCGUCUGAUUAGCUGGUUGGUGGGGUAACGGGCCCACCAAGGCGACGAUCAGUAGCCGGACUGAGAGGUUGACCGGCCACAUUGGGACUGAGACACGGCCCAGACUCCUACGGGAGGCAGCAGUGGGGGAAUAUUGGGGCAAUGGGCGCAAGCCUGACCCAGCAACGCCGCGUGAAGGAAGAAGGCUUUCGGGUUGUAAACUUCUUUUAUGAGGGACGAAACAAAUGACGGUACCUCAUGAAUAAGCCACGGCUAACUACGUG